rnacentral:rRNA from 1 species
GAUGAACGCUGGCGGCGUGCCUAAUACAUGCAAGUCGAGCGAACAGACGAGGAGCUUGCUCCUCUGAUGUUAGCGGCGGACGGGUGAGUAACACGUGGAUAACCUACCUAUAAGACUGGGAUAACCUCGGGAAACCGGAGCUAAUACCGGAUAACAUGUUGAACCGCAUGGUUCAACAGUGAAAGACGGUCUUGCUGUCACUUAUAGAUGGAUCCGCGCCGCAUUAGCUAGUUGGUAAGGUAACGGCUUACCAAGGCAACGAUGCGUAGCCGACCUGAGAGGGUGAUCGGCCACACUGGAACUGAGACACGGUCCAGACUCCUACGGGAGGCAGCAGUAGGGAAUCUUCCGCAAUGGGCGAAAGCCUGACGGAGCAACGCCGCGUGAGUGAAGAAGGUCUUCGGAUCGUAAAACUCUGUUAUUAGGGAAGAACAAAUGUGUAAGUAACUAUGCACGUCUUGACGGUACCUAAUCAGAAAGCCACGGCUAACUACGUG